AAGGCUACUGGAGCUAGGCUUUGCUGGAGAAUGUAUGGAGCUAUGAUCAGGUCAAUAGUAGUGCUUUAUCUCUUUUCUGCUUUUUGUUUUGAUUUUGUUCAAUGCAACUUCAAAAUCAAAUGAAAGAAUGGAAGGGUAGGCUGAGUGGAGAACAGAAGCAUAUGCGUUCAGCGGAAGAGGUGAAGAAAGGGCAUAUUGAAGAGACUGUGAGCAGAAAGGAAAGAAAAUUCUCUGCUUAAAUACCAUGGUAAUUGUGAGUCAAGAAAUGCCUUCGGGUGGAUUUUCCCAAAGGACUCAGCAUGAUGUCAAUGGGAACAGUGCUUUAGAAAACCUCAGCUUGAACAAAUAUAGAAAAGGACAACAAUCAUUGGAAUUCGGUUAUCUAAAGCCACUACUCCUAAUCCUGGCCCUUGUCAGAGAGAAGAUUCUGGCAGGAAGCACCUCUGGCCACACCUGCUGUGACUGCUGUCCCGUUCCUGAAUUCCACCUACAUUGAUCCUUCUUUAGUGUUCACUCAGGUGCAGUCACAAGGAGUAGACGUUAUGUGUGUCUGGGGGAUUAGUACAAGGACUGCGUAUCAUCUGAGUUUGCUUUCUGCUUCAAGCAGUCCACAGACAGCAUGCCAGCCCUCUACAUGAAGUUGGCAUUGGGUCCACAGAGUGUGAGCUGGCUUCCUGAAUGGAUGAGAAGGCAGAAGGCAAGCCAAGUAAAAAAGCUAAUUUUCAAAGCCUGUGACUGGAAAAUGAAAGACAUAGAUGUAUAAAGAAAUAGCAGUAUUAUAGGUCUAGACAGACAUUAAUGAGCAUGUGCCCUAACGAUCAUAUCAAGGUUAUAAGCCACUGCUUAUGCACAAGACAAAUCUAGCUCAUCUAGCUCAAACACCGGCUGUUCAAACUCUGUCCUAAUUACAAGAUUUAUGCCUUUGCCUUUAUCCAAAGGGUUGAUCUGAAGGAAUGAAAGAGUAGUUCAAGCUCUAAGUCCCCUUGCUUCUUGUUCUCAUUACCAUAAAGGUACGGGUGCCUGUUAGAUUUGGUCAGAUGUUUUUAUAAUUAAAGAUUUAAACUUUAAAAGUGAAGGGAAUCUCUUACACUUUGGAACCUUUGGUUGCUCCAUCAAAUAUUGUUUGUGAUCUUCAUAAUGAAAUGAAUACAGCAGGGUGCCAGAAUACUUCUACUAAUUUGCCCUCAGGAUUUUCUGCACUUGAUCUCUGUUUUUGUUUUAAAACAUUGCUUUCCUGUGGUGCAAUGUUUUGUGAAGUUCUGGCAGUGUCAUCUUCAGAUACUAGUUCAGAUACUAGUCCUGAGUCCUCUACAGGAUAAGGAGUCCAAGAUAUACAUGACAUGUGGCUGAAACUCCUCUGAAUCUGCCAGCACCUCUGCCACUUUUCCUAGGGUCAGUAAGGAGAAAUGGUGGCUAAUUUUGUGUGUUUAUGGCAGGGCACACAGAGCUUUUCAUUAAUUCAGAAACUGGUUUUCCUCCUUUUAGAGUUUCCUGGUCUAUCAGAGUGUUGAGGGCUCAAGGUUUCUGAUUUAUACCAAAAUAUCUUUAAAAUACCCAGGAAAAAAAGUUGUCCCACUAAAUUUGGUAGGAAAAAUCUCAAUUGUACCCCAAGUAGAGCUACAAAUAUCUCUCUUCUAGCACCCCUAAUUGCAUAGACGCUCUUAUCCUUUCCUCUCUUCCUUCUCCUGCCUUCUUUUCAAAUACACUCCCAUUUUCUUGUGGAUAUUUCUUCCCCUCAGCAGUCCCUUGAACGCUUUACGUGCUCUGCCCUCCCUCGACAGGUGGGACCGCUUGGUGUUGUUUUGUGCUGGGGCAGCUUGCUCACUGCCUGACCUGUCCUGGCAGGUGGGGUGUCCUUCGGAGAGAGGUGAAGAAGCACUGCUGGCCUUGCACGCAGAGAUCAGUCAUUUCCUUGCCAGUAGAGCAGUGGCUUUAGAGCUCAUUCAUUGCCUGCCUACUGA
rnacentral:lncRNA from 1 species